CUACGUAGGGUGCGAGCGUUGUCCGGAAUUACUGGGCGUAAAGAGCUCGUAGGUGGUUUGUCGCGUCGUCUGUGAAAUUCCGGGGCUUAACUCCGGGCGUGCAGGCGAUACGGGCAUAACUUGAGUACUGUAGGGGAGACUGGAAUUCCUGGUGUAGCGGUGAAAUGCGCAGAUAUCAGGAGGAACACCGGUGGCGAAGGCGGGUCUCUGGGCAGUAACUGACGCUGAGGAGCGAAAGCAUGGGUAGCGAACAGGAUUAGAUACCCUGGUAGUCCAUGCCGUAAACGGUGGGCGCUAGGUGUAGGGGUCUUCCACGACUUCUGUGCCGUAGCUAACGCAUUAAGCGCCCCGCCUGGGGAGUACGGCCGCAAGGCUAAAACUCAAAUGAAUUGACGGGG
rnacentral:rRNA from 1 species